CUUAUGAGGAAAUUACUUUUUAGCAAAGCUAAGCAUUUUGUUGAGUCAUGCAAUCUGAAAGUACUUUUUCACCAUGAAACAAAUAACAUUUUGAAAAGAAAGCUUAGUUACUAUUGGUAAUUCUGAGCUUAUUAGUAUUAGCAGAAAUGCAGCUCAAAAUACACUUUUUUUUCCUAUCCAUACUAAACCUGAAAGUUUCCUUUCUCUAAUCUCCCUGCAGCACUGGAAGCAGAACCAGCCCUGCUAACUCAAGAUGAUUACAGUAAUGUACUGCAGAGCAUAACAAACUUUGAAAUGUACUGACUGACCCAAAAGCCAUAUCACACUUCUCAGCAUGUUACUGAAAACCUGCCAAAGGAUGUUAACGUAUGAAGAGGCCAUUUGAUUUGCAAGACGGUAUACUGUGUUUAAUUUAAGUCUGGAACUAUCUGAAGGACUAUUUUAAACCAUAUGAAAGGUAUAGUACUAUGUUUCUAUAGAAUGCUGGAAUUCUAAAACAGGAUAGUGUGGCCAUGUGAAGUGCCAUGGUACCUAGACCACUACAUUUGAAUGUCAAUUAUGUUUUUGUGUACCUCACAUGGGAAAUCUCUUCAGGUUAGCAGCAUGGAGUGCACUAAUACCUUUUCCAAAUACCUGACCCUUUUCAGCUGAUCAGAGAAAGGGGGCUGGAUGUCCUGAGGCAACCCACGUCCCAGAGAGACUUUCUGCAGUAGGCCUGAUUCCUGACUGCACAAAACACAAAAAUAUCUAUGCACAAAGAAGGAAGUAAAGACCAGGGUAGCUUGGUCUUUCUGAAUUUAGUUACCAUGCCGUACUCCAUGAAGAUGAGCAGGAGUACCAGGCACUGAGUUCAUAUAUAUUUUGGCCAGCCCGAUUCUGCUUGACAGCUCUAAUUAUUCUGGGGCUGAACUAAGCAUCUCUUUGUGGUCAUGGUUUCAGUUUCUCUUCUGCAGCAGGAAUGUCUGGAGUUGCCUGCCUGCAAGGCAGGUCAGUAUCAUUAACCACACCUUAGAGGCACAAAAAAUAAAUUAAAAAAAAAAAAAAAAAUCAAGUGUCUUGUCAGAGGUCACCCAGCAGCAUCAGCGCCAGGAAUAGAACCCAGGGCUCUGGUAUCCCAGACUAACUCAUGACUCACAUUGACCCUCUUGCCGGCAGCUCUGAAGGCAGAAGGAGAACUGUCUGGGGUCUUCAGAGGCUGGGCCACACAACACUUCCUGCCAGUGAAUGGCAGAUCUUGUUCCACCCUCCAAUGCUACAAGUAGGAUGAAGACUCACUGGAACAGAACUGUGGCCCUCAGUAUGGGAGAGAAAGUGACUUUAUGACACAAAGCAUGGGAGCUCGAUAUUUGAGAUUAACUACUAUAAAUCCUUGUGAAAGAAAAAUGUGGCACUGGGGGUACAUCGUAAAGUUACAAGAGACUGAGUACUCAAGCUUGCUGCAAGAUGAUGGGAAUCAAUGAGAAGUGUUGAAGGCAACCCUUAAUAUGGAAAACUGCAAGAAAUCUCCCAAUUGCAGAAGAAGAGAGAAGAAGUGCAGCAAACAUCUCCCAAUAGCAGAAGGCAGGGAGAAGGUGUAACAAAUUAAAGAGGAUCUGAACUCAAGAUUCAUCACAACAGCAUGAGAGAUAAUGACAUCAACAUCUCAAGUGGAAGCAGGGAGGUGUCCUUCCUUGCCUUGUCAUACUCUUUCGGGAUAAACAAGAACCCUGACCUCAGGUUCUAGUAGACAAGUAAAAACUAAUUUUCAAAUAAGUUGUUUUUUACAUUUGUCAUUUUAAAAAUCGACUACAUAGUCUGUUAUUUCUUGUCUACUCCUGAGAAAUGCUGAAGACCCAACAAUUGCCAUCAAUAGCUGUGGGUUCCUCUGAUUUUUUCCAUUGCUACCUUAAUUUUAAUUUCUCAUUCAAAAAGGGGAAAUUUUAAAAAUCAUUUCAUCAGUUGACGUUAUAAAAGUAGUUCCAUUUUCAGCUGGUUCAAACUUAAGUAAUCAAGGUGAAAAACUGGUGACUUUACAUUUGAUCAGACAAAUGUCACAGACAUGGUGAGCCAAAUUAAUUUCUGGUGUAACUCAAGUGACACCAUCCCUGAGUCUUAGUAAGUCAAACAUUCCAUGGAGAGACACCAUGAAAUCUAUGGGGUACACUGCAAAUAUGUUCUAGUUUGCCGAGUAUUGUAUUGAGCCAAAUUCAUCUCCAGUAUUGUGGCAGCUUGAAAUCAGACUUUGCAAUUUAAAUUGUACAGCAUUUUUGAAGAAGUUUACCUAUUUGCAUUACAUGCAUAUAUUUACAAAUAAAAAUGGGUUCUUUUUACAUGAGUGGUUUAGUCAUCUGAAAUUGAAUUUAUACAAACUCAGACUAAUCCUGAAAACCUUCCACACAUGCAACUCUCACAGACUUCAUUGUUUGUUGCAAACACACAGUUUGUAGAAUUGGGACCCAAGAAUGUGAAAAAUAUUUGAUUCAGAUGUAAAUUGUAAAUAAAUCUAGCCUUUCAUAAAGGAAGUGUUCAGAUAGUGCGCCCAAAAAAUAGAAUAAUGAAUCCUCAAUAUUUAAAUGGUGUUACAUGUAAUAUAUUAAAAAUGUAAACUAAAUUUAAGUUCUAUUUACAUUCAGUAGGUGUAAUUACUGCUUAAAAGUGUAACCAUUUUAUCUGACAGAUGCACCAGCUGGUAUUAGGUAUCCCAGUAUAUCCAAAUAAGGGAAAUUUUCACAUCUCCAUUGUCUCAUCAGGACAGAAGGAGAGAAAUCGUCUCUUGAAUGUUCAGUUUAACUUUUGCCUACUGAUAUUUUCAAACCUGGAUGCCUAAGUUAAGCUCCUGAACAGCACACACAUUUUCAAAAGGUGCUGGGCUCCUGUAACUCCUAUUGACCUCAAUGGAAUUUGAGAGGGCUCUGCCAUUCUGACGAUCAAGCCACUAUUUUGGAGCCUAAUUUUAGGCACCCAGGUUGGAAAAUUUUAGCUUGAAUAUUCAAAAAAAAAAAAAAAUUCCCCACUGUUUCUUCACUUCCCUACAUGAUAAUGCUACUGUAAUUUCUGCAAUAUGUUGAUACAUUACUUUACUCCUGUAGACUGAGAUAGCCUAGAUUACCAUCACUGACAUGCUUCUCAAAUGGCAUGUCACAAUAAUUAGCACCAUGUAAUUAAUAUUUUUCUUAAUUCAAGAUUAAUAAAGCUGUACUUAUAAUAAAGUUUUAAUAUAUGACCUCCUACAAAGUAAUUUCAAAGAUUCAAGGGAUACUGUAAUACAGGAAUAGACUGAAAACUAAUAUUUCACUGACAAAUUGUGUAAUUAACAAGGGGAGCAGCAAAUGAAGUGUAAUUAGGAUGCAGAACAUCCUAUAAGGAAAUCAGCACUGUUAGCUAGCCUUCUAUACUUCCAGUUGUAUCUAAACCCUAUUUUAUUCUUAGUGCACUGUUUAGUCCUCCUUCAAGAAAAAUCUAAUGUGUAUGAAAUGUCUUAAUACUGGAUUAUUCUCGGACAAGUUUUGAAAAAUUUAAAUUUGUUUGCAUAGAUAAAGGUAAAACAAUUUUAAUCUUUGUAUUUCUUAACAAUACAUAUAGGUUUAUUUAAAAUUUAUUCCUACUUAUGGCUCAAUUCCUAAAUAAUUUAAAUUUAAAUAUGGCAGUUUUAAUUCUAAAAUCAAAUGCAGAAUGUCUAUUCCAGAUAGAAGAUCUAUUCCAAAUAUUAAAUCUAUUUCUUAACGAACACAGAAGAACAAUGUGGUGUUCCACAUCUAGAAAUGGGCUGUAAUAGUAUCAUAGUUUCAACUGUGGCCAAAGCAACUAUGCAAAAUAAGAUGGCAUUUUGCACAUACAGCAUACCAACCUGUCAAACGGGCAAUGGGUAGCAAAAACUUCAAACGGGAGGUCAAUCCUUCAAACUAAAAACGUUUACUUAAGACUACUGAAACUGAACUAUUAUUCUAAAGCCCUAAGGACAAGGAUCAGUAUACCAAAAUCAUUCAUUGUUAUGGUAGUUAGAACAAAACCAAACCAAAAAAUAAAAGAAAGUUGAUAUACCCUCUACUAGCUGUAAGCAAAUCAUAAAUUAUACCUGCUCAUAACAAUAUAAACCCACC